UACGAAGGGGGCUAGCGUUGCUCGGAAUCACUGGGCGUAAAGGGUGCGUAGGCGGGUCUUUUAAGUCAGGGGUGAAAUCCUGGAGCUCAACUCCAGAACUGCCUUUGAUACUGAAGAUCUUGAGUUCGGGAGAGGUGAGUGGAACUGCGAGUGUAGAGGUGAAAUUCGUAGAUAUUCGCAAGAACACCAGUGGCGAAGGCGGCUCACUGGCCCGAUACUGACGCUGAGGCGCGAAAGCUAGGGGAGCAACGGG
rnacentral:rRNA from 1 species